UAAAGCUACAAAGAGCUAAUGGAGGAUGCCUUGGCAUUGACAGCCGACGAAGGACGUGUAAAGCUGCGAAAAUCCACGGGGAACUGCUAAAAAGUCUUGAUCCGUGGGAGUCCGAAUGGGGAAACCCCUUAAAGUUAAAGCUUUAAGAUCCGCAAAUGAAUUAAUAGUUUGCGAGAGGGAAAGCCUGUGAACUGAAACAUCUUAGUAACAGGACGAAGAGAAAAUAAACUAAUGAUUCCGAGAGUAGCGGCGAGCGAAAUUGGAAGAGCCUAAACCUUUGGUACGUGAUAGCCUGUAAGUGUUGUAUCAAAGGGGUUGUGGGACUUAUAAGACAAGUUACAGCUUGUUGAAUCAGUUACAAAGUUAUUUAGUAGUUGAAUACAACUGGGAAGUUGAGCCAUAGAGUGUGAUAGCCACUUAAACGAAACUAAAUAAUCUGAUAAUAAGCACCCGAGUAAGGCGGGGCACGUGAAACCCUGUCUGAAUCUACCGGGACCAUCCGGUAAGGCUAAAUACUAGUCAGUGACCGAUAGUGAACGAGUACAGUGAUGGAAAGGCGAAAAGAACAGUGAGAAGCUGAGUGAAAUAGACCCUAAAACCGUUAGCUUACAAUCAGUUAGAGCCCUAUUGAUAGGGUGAUAGCGUGCCUGUUGAAGAAUGAGCCGGCGAGUUAAUUUAUGUUGCGAGGUUAAGGAGUUGAUAUCUGGAGCCAUAGCGAAAGCGAGUUUGAAAAGAGCGAUAAGUAACAUGAAUUAGACCCGAACCUUGGCGAUCUAACCUUGACCAGGAUGAAGCGUGGGUAACACUACGUGGAGGUCCGAACCAACCGAUGUUGAAAAAUCGGUGGAUGAGUUGAGGUUAGGGGUGAAAUGCCAAUCGAGCCAAGAGCUAGCUGGUUCUCCCCGAAAUGCGUUUAGGCACAGCGUUGGACUUAUCUUACCGGAGGUAGAGCACUAGUCUGAUGCGGGCGGCGAAAUGCCGUACCAAAUCAUGUUAAACUCCGAAUACCGGUAAAGUUACUAUCCAGCAGUGAGGCAGCGAGUGCUAAGAUCCGUUGCCAAGAGGGAAACAGCCCAGAACGCCAGUUAAGGUCCCAAAUAUAUGCUAAGUGGAAAAGGAUGUGGCAAUGCACAGACAACCAGGAUGUUGGCUUAGAAGCAGCCACACAUUCAAAGAGUGCGUAAUAGCUCACUGGUCAAGCGACUCCGCGCCGAAAAUACACCGGGACUAAAGCAUAUAACCGAAACUGCGUCAUUAAGUUUACUUAAUGGGUAGGGGAGCGUACUGUAGUAGGACGAAGUAAGAUCGAAAGGACUUAUGGACGAGGCAGUAGUGAGAAUGUCGGCAUAAGUAGCGAAAACAUUGGUGAGAAUCCAAUGCACCGAAAACCUAAGGUUUCCCACGGCAGGCUCGUCCGCGUGGGGUUAGUCGGAUCCUAAGCUGAGGCCGAAAGGCGUAGGCGAUGGGCAUCAGGUUGAUAUUCCUGAACUAUCGAUUAAUCGUUAUUAGAGGCGGAGGGACGCAGGAGGAUAGACAAGCAGCCGACUGGAAGUGGCUGUAAAGAUAUGUAGGUAGAAUGGGUAGGAAAAUCCGCUCAUUCGUUAUAAACUGAGGUAUCGAGUAGGACUCUCUACGGAGGGGAAGUUGUUGAAUCCACACUGCCAAGAAAAGCUUCGCACUUGAGAUUAAUAGGUAUCCGUACCGGAAACCGCCACAGGUAGGUUGGUAGAGAAUACUAAGGUGCGCGAGAUAACUCUCGCUAAGGAACUCGGCAAAAUCACCUCGUAACUUCGGGAGAAGAGGUACCCUGGUAGAGUGAAGCGGUUCACCCGUGGAGCUUGAUAGGGUCGCAGUGAAUAGGCCCAGGCGACUGUUUACCAAAAACACAGGUCUCUGCAAAGUCGAUCAAGACGAUGUAUAGGGGCUGACGCCUGCCCGGUGUCGGAAGGUUACGUGGAAGUGUUAGAAGCAAUUCGAAGCACCGAAACUAAGCCCCGAUGAACGGCGGCCGUAACUAUAACGGUCCUAAGGUAGCGAAAUUCCUUGUCAGGUA
rnacentral:rRNA from 1 species